rnacentral:rRNA from 1 species
AGAGUUUGAUCAUGGCUCAGAACGAACGCUGGCGGCGUGUCUUAAGCAUGCAAGUCGAGCGGCAAGGCGGGGCAACCCGCCCUAGAGCGGCGGACUGGUGAGUAACACGUGGGUGAUCUGCCCUUGGUCUGGGGAUAGCUCGUGGAAACACGGGGUAAUACCGAAUACGCUUAUUAUGCUGAGGCGUAGUAAGGAAAGGCGCUAAGGCGCCGACCGAGGAUGAGCCCGCGUCCCAUUAGCUAGUUGGUGAGGUAAAGGCCCACCAAGGCUAUGAUGGGUAGGCGGCCUGAGAGGGUGUACGCCCACAUUGGGACUGAGAUACGGCCCAAACUCCUACGGGAGGCAGCAGCUAAGAAUAUUCCGCAAUGGACGAAAGUCUGACGGAGCGACGCCGCGUGGAUGAAGAAGGCCGAAAGGUUGUAAAAUUCUUUUGUCGGGGAAGAAUAACCAUGGGAGGGAAUGCCCGUGGGAUGACAUGAACCGGCGAAUAAGCCCCGGCUAACUACGUGCCAGCAGCCGCGGUAACACGUAGGGGGCAAGCGUUGUUCGGAAUUACUGGGCGUAAAGGGCAUGUAGGCGGUUUUGUAAGACUGGCGUGAAAGGCUGCAGCUUAACUGUAGCACUGCGCUGGUAACUGCGAGACUUGAAUCACGGAGAGGGAGCUAGAAUUCCAGGUGUAGGGGUGAAAUCUGUAGAUAUCUGGAAGAAUACCAAUGGCGAAGGCAAGCUUCUGGCCGAUGAUUGACGCUGAGGUGCGAAAGCGUGGGUAGCAAACAGGAUUAGAUACCCUAGUAGUCC